UACAGAGGUCUCAAGCGUUGUUCGGAUUCAUUGGGCGUAAAGGGUGCGUAGGCGGCGCGGUAAGUCGGAUGUGAAAUCUCGGAGCUUAACUCCGAAACUGCAUUCGAUACUGCCGUGCUUGAGGACUGGAGAGGAGACUGGAAUUUACGGUGUAGCGGUGAAAUGCGUAGAUAUCGUAAGGAAGACCAGUGGCGAAGGCGGGU
rnacentral:rRNA from 1 species